UACAGAGGUCUCAAGCGUUGUUCGGAUUCAUUGGGCGUAAAGGGUGCGUAGGUGGCGCUGUAAGUCGGGUGUGAAAUUUCGGAGCUUAACUCCGAAACUGCAUUCGAUACUGCGGUGCUUGAGGACUGGAGAGGAGACUGGAAUUCAUGGUGUAGCAGUGAAAUGCGUAGAGAUCAUGAGGAAGACCAGUGGCGAAGGCGGGUCUCUGGACAGUUCCUGACGCUGAGGCACGAAGGUCAGGGGAGCAAACGGGA
rnacentral:rRNA from 1 species